GGCUGGAGUAGAUAAUAAUUUUCUUUUAAUCUUUGGAAUAGUCAACUGAUAAGUUAUAUGGCUGCUUACAGGUAAAUCAGUAAUUUCUAUUUGACAGUUGCGUGUAUUUUGGGUGUGGAAUACCUUAAUUUUAUGGGAACAUCCUGUCCAUGUGUAAUACUUAAUAUAUAUUCCAACAGAUGACAUUACACAAUUUUUUCUUCUGUUGAAUGAAUGCUUUGUAUAUCAUCAUAAUUUGCCAUUUAUAUGAACUAGAUUUUUCUACAAUAAUUAUUUACCAUAUUAACA
rnacentral:lncRNA from 1 species